UUGGAAAAUAUUUGUGGAGCAGCUAAUAGUGGGACUUCAGAGAGGGAUGGCUUGACUCUUCCCACUCAUUAGCCCCCGCAGCUUCCCGGUGAAAUUCCCUCCGUUGCUGUCUCUUCAUUUCCCUUCCUUGUGGCUGUGCUAUUUCCCCUUCUGAUUCCUAUCUGUCUCCCCACCUCACACUGAGCUUGCUUAUACCAAAGACUAAAUGUUCAAAGUAGAAAGGAAUCUGGAAGUAGGAUUUUUAUGUUUCAGAGCCCAGUACUUCUGGAUGCCCAGCCUGGGAGCCACCAACGAUGCCAUUGGUUGGUAGGGUUAAUUUUUUGAAUAUAUGAUGCUCUGAAACAUAGGUUCUGUGGUUAUGUACAACAGGAUGGUGCUACUGAAGACAUGAGGCCAGACUUCUGACCACUGAAGAGCUAGGUCUUCAAAGGGUUCUGCCAUUCAAAGGUAAUUGAAGCAGGACAUCAAGGACGCUUGGACACCAAAGACUCUUGUCCAUCCUAGGAGUGUCAGGUCCUGGAAGUCAUCUGUCAUUGGCCACUGAAUUAUCACUCUACAGAGGAGGAGAUUGGAACAGAAAGAGAUUAAGAGAUCAGAUCAAGAACACAGCAGGAAAGUGGCAGAGCCAGGAUGAGAACCCAGAUUCCAUGAUCUCAGCCUCAAGUACCUUCAGUUCACUACAUGGGCUCCUUUUAGCCUUGUUAAUGCUGCAGAUUUCUCCCUGCUCCAAGUCCCUGUUCUAUAUCAGCCUCUGUUCAAGAACCUACUAUGAUUCCCCAGGGCAGGAAUAUCCCUGGAAAGUGUGAGCCCUAGACAAAUAUAUUUUGAGGGGCCUUAUUUACAUAAAUGAUUUUAUUAAAAAAUUGGGCCAUGUGAGGCAUAGUGAUUUACUGAUGAAGGUUUAGAAUCAUGGGUGUUUGUUUAUUGCCCAGUGUGAAAAUUCUUGGGUCUUUAUCCCUUGUGAAUGCGAGAUCCCCCACAUCAGUAUGGCAGCACUAUUGUAGAGGCACAAAGCCAUGCAAUCUCACAAAAGAAAUGACUGGUACCUUGUCAGUGUUGGUGGCUACAUGUGCUGACCAGGCCACUCUUCUCAACUAGCCCCCACCUUGGGUCUAGGAGGAUCCCCUAGAAGUGAGUGCUGGGACUCUUCUGAAUAACUGAUCAAACUUAACAGGCUAACUAGGAAGUAAGAUAGUACCAUGAAGAGAAAAAAUGGGAGCUGGCUUGGACACUUCAAGUUAGGGACUUCAGGUUAGGAACUUCCUUCAAGAAAAGCCAUCCUAAUUGUGGGAACAUCUGAGAUAUGGAAAGUCAAAGCAGAAAUUCCAACUGGACGGAGCAGUACAGUCUCAUGAGCUGGUUAAUAAAAUAGAAUGCCACAGAAGAAUACUUCAGAGUCACUCUUCAUAGUUUUAUGAAGCCUUCUGAUCAAUUGCAUUGUAUGUUAAAUACAUAGGAAC